rnacentral:rRNA from 1 species
CUACGGGAGGCAGCAGUGAGGAAUUUUGGACAAUGGGGGCAACCCUGAUCCAGCCAUUCCGCGUGAGUGAAGAAGGCCUUCGGGUUGUAAAGCUCUUUUGUCGGGGACGAAACGGUUUCAAUUAAUACUUGAGACUACUGACGGUACCCGAAGAAUAAGCACCGGCUAACUACGUGCCAGCAGCCGCGGUAAUACGUAGGGUGCGAGCGUUAAUCGGAAUUACUGGGCGUAAAGCGUGCGCAGGCGGUUGUGUAAGCCAGAUGUGAAAUCCCCGGGCUCAACCUGGGAAUGGCAUUUGGGACUGCACGGCUAGAGUAUGGCAGAGGAGACUAGAAUUCCUGGUGUAGCAGUGAAAUGCGUAGAUAUCAGGAGGAAUACCGAUGGCGAAGGCAGGUCUCUGGGCUGAUACUGACGCUCAUGCACGAAAGCGUGGGGAGCAAACAGGAUUAGAUACCCUGGUAGUCG